GACGAACGCUGGCGGCGUGCUUAACACAUGCAAGUCGAACGGGCCUUGUCCCCUUUUUUUUGGGGGUGGGGUUAGUGGCGAACGGGUGAGUAACACGUGAGUAACCUGCCCCUCACUUCUGGAUAACCGCUUGAAAGGGUGGCUAAUACGGGGUGUUCUGGCCUGCUCGCAUGGGUGGGUUUGGAAAGAUUCGACCGGUUUUGGUUGUUUUGGUGGGGGAUGGGCUCGCGGCCUAUCAGCUUGUUGGUGGGGUGAUGGCCUGCCAAGGCUUUGACGGGUAGCCGGCGUGAGAGGGUGGGCGGUCAGACUGGGACAGAGACACGGCCCAGACGCCUACGGGAGGAAGCGGGGGGGAAGAUUGCAGAAUGGGCGCAAGCCUGAUGCAGCGACGCCGCGUGAGGGAUGGAGGCCGUCGGGUUGGGAACCUCUUUCGCCAGUGAAGAAGGUCCUGCUCUUUGUGGUGGGGUUGACGGUAGCUGGGGUAAGGAAGCGCCGGCUAACUACG
rnacentral:rRNA from 1 species